UACGUAGGGGGCAAGCGUUGUCCGGAUUUAUUGGGCGUAAAGAGCGUGUAGGCGGCUUUACAGGUCCGUUGUGCAAACUCGAGGCUCAACCUCGAGACGCUGUGGUGAAACCGUAAUGGCUAGAGUCCGGAAGAGGAGAGUGGAAUUCCUGGUGUAGCGGUGAAAUGCGCAGAUAUCAGGAAGAACACCCGUGGCGAAGGCGGCUCUCUGGGACGGUACUGACGCUGAGACGCGAAAGCGUGGGGAGCGAACAGG
rnacentral:rRNA from 1 species